UGGGGAAUUUUGCGCAAUGGGGGCAACCCUGACGCAGCAACGCCGCGUGAGUGAUGAAGGCUUUCGGGUCGUAAAGCUCUGUCAAGAGGGACGAAGUGUACGGAGGUUAAUACCCUUUGUGCUUGACGGUACCUCUGAAGGAAGCACCGGCUAACUCCGUGCCAGCAGCCGCGGUAAUACGGAGGGUGCAAGCGUUGUUCGGAUUUAUUGGGCGUAAAGCGCGUGUAGGCGGUUUGUUAAGUCUGAUGUGAAAGCCCCGGGCUCAACCUGGGAAGUGCAUUGGAAACUGGCAGACUUGAAUACGGGAGAGGGUAGUGGAAUUCCUGGUGUAGGAGUGAAAUCCGUAGAUAUCAGGAGGAACACCGGUGGCGAAGGCGGCUACCUGGACCGAUAUUGACGC
rnacentral:rRNA from 1 species